ACAGAGCAGUGGUGACCGGAGAAGGUGUGAUGUCACAGAGCAGCGAGGAGAGGCGGGAGGAAGAGGAAGGAGAGGAGAGGAAACCCAGCAGGAUGAGAUAUGAGCGAUGACGUCUACAGAGCCUGCACCCCCCUUUGUCAGCCCCCCAGAGGACAGGUUUCCAGCGAGCUCUUGGCCUCACAUGGCGGCAGGGGCAGCGCCCCAGAGCCGAGUGAUCUGGGAGACCCUCUCGCAGACCCUGGACUUAGACCACGCCCUUCAAGGGGCUGGGGGGUGAGGUUCCAAUCCUGAGGAGCGCUGGGUGACAUUCUGGGGCUCCCGAUCAUGUGUGUGCGGGCACAGGAGGGAUCCCAUGCCUUCCCUGCUGGGCCCCUGAGUAGGAGGGGGGCCACCCCCCACCCUCCCCAACAGAGGCAGGGCCCCACAGCUGAGUGACUGGGUGCACAACAGGAUGAAACACAUCUGCCCACUGAAAUGAUGCCAAUAAAUCUAGAAGAUGGAUCUCUUACUUCUUUUUCU